rnacentral:rRNA from 1 species
CCCUUAGAUGUUCUGGGCCGCACGCGCGCUACACUGAUGCAUUCAACGAGUCUAAAACCUGCUCUGAUAGGGGUGGGUAAUCUUUUGAAUGUGCAUCGUGAUUGGGAUAGAUGAUUGCAAUUUUCAUCUUCAACGAGGAAUGCCUAGUAAACGCAAGUCAUCAGCUUGCAUUGAUUACGUCCCUGCCCUUUGUACACACCGCCCGUCGCUCCUACCGAUUGAAUGAUCCGAUGAAUAUCAUGGAUUGAGGAUGCAAGUAGGUUCGCCUAUCUUCAUCUUCGAGAAGUGAAGUAAAUCUUAUCAUUUAGAGGAAGGAGAAGUCGUAACA